UUAAUUUGAAGAUUGAUUGUAAAAUUAUUGCAAUAUAAAAGUAUAUUUAAAAACUUGAAUAUUGCAAUAAUUU